rnacentral:rRNA from 1 species
AGUGUAGAUUCAGAGUUUGAUCCUGGCUCAGGACGAACGCUGGCGGCGUGCUUAACACAUGCAAGUCGAACGAGGUCCACGGUGUAGCAAUACACCUGAAGACCUAGUGGCGAACGGGUGCGUAACACGUGAGGAACUUGUCCCGGUCUCUGGGAUAACAGUUGGAAACGACUGCUAAUACCGGAUGACGUCGGAGCAUCGCAUGGUGCGCUGACGAAAGGGUUACUGGAUCGGGAGAGCCUCGCGGCCUAUCAGCUUGUUGGUGGGGUAACGGCCCACCAAGGCAUCGACGGGUAGCUGGUCUGAGAGGAUGAUCAGCCACACUGGGACUGAGACACGGCCCAG